rnacentral:rRNA from 1 species
UACGAAGGGUGCAAGCGUUAAUCGGAAUUACUGGGCGUAAAGCGCGCGUAGGUGGUUCAGCAAGUUGGAUGUGAAAGCCCUGGGCUCAACCUGGGAACUGCAUCCAAAACUACUGAGCUAGAGUACGGUAGAGGGUAGUGGAAUUUCCUGUGUAGCGGUGAAAUGCGUAGAUAUCGUGAGGAACACCAGAGGCGAAGGCGGCUACCUGGACAAUUGCUGACACUCAGGCACGAAAGCGUGGGGAGCAAAAGGG